UCUCUUGCAUAAGAGAAAAUUGAAAGAUGGUUUCGGCUAUCACUUACAGAUGGGCCCGCGGUGCAUUAGCUAGUUGGUGAGGUAACGGCUCACCAAGGCAACGAUGCAUAGCCGACCUGAGAGGGUGAUCGGCCACACUGGGACUGAGACACGGCCCAGACUCCUACGGGAGGCAGCAGUAGGGAAUCUUCCGCAAUGGACGAAAGUCUGACGGAGCAACGCCGCGUGAGUGAUGAAGGCUUUCGGGUCGUAAAACUCUGUUGUUAGGGAAGAACAAGUACAAGAGUAACUGCUUGUACCUUGACGGUACCUAACCAGAAAGCCACGGCUAACUACGUGCCAGCAGCCGCGGUAAUACGUAGGUGGCAAGCGUUAUCCGGAAUUAUUGGGCGUAAAGCGCGCGCAGGCG
rnacentral:rRNA from 2 species